AUGCUGGAGGCUUUCCUUCACACUAGGCUGGAGAGUUGCCUUUAUGGGCAUCCUGAAGUCUUGGGCUUGAAUGGAAACCCAUCUCCCACUAGCAGAAGAUUGGAUGCACCUCAUCAUCACUUGUGCAUAUUUUUGCCCGCCACGCAAUCGCAGGAAAAUAGGGCCUUGCAGCAGCCACCUCAGAUGAAAGCACUUCCCAAAACCAAGAGAAACAAAAAAAGCUUCCUCGAAGUGGAUGGAGAUGCUGCACAAACUGCCUGAGCACCUCUGCCCUGCUCUGGGUUAUUGAACUGGCUUCUGCAAAGGCAAUUUCAAACAGCAAACAGCUAAGCAAGGGGAGCAAGACAUAACCUUUGCUUCUGCAGGACCUACCAGAAGCUGACAAUGUGGGUACGUGGGCAAUGGGAAAAGCAGUUUAUGUUUUAAGCUUCACGUGACCUCUGGAGCUUCUGGGCUUUGGAAGGUGAGAGUGAGACAAUCCUCACAAGCACUUGAUCCCUCUCGAAGUGAAGGGGCUUUCCUGGGUACACAGCUUUCCCCCUUCUGUCUCAGAAGUGUAUCUGGUUUUUUGGGGGUGGAAAAAAAAAAAAAAAAGAGGAUUGAUUCAAAUAAAAAUGUAUUUGUAUGAGAAAAAUUAUUUCCU
rnacentral:lncRNA from 1 species